UUGUUACUCCCUCCGUUCGGAAUUACUUGUCGCAGAAAUGGAUGUAUCUAGAUGUAUUUUAGUUCUAGAUACAUCCAUAUUCGAGACAAGUAAUUCCGAACGGAGGGAGUAGUUU
rfam:Triticum aestivum genome assembly, contig: Triticum_aestivum_CS42_TGACv1_scaffold_392953_5AS